AAACUUUUAUAGGGCCUUCCUUGGGAAUUUAAUUCAGUGCUUCUUCAUUUUAUUAGGAACAGACUGACUCCAUCAACUGGACUCUCUCUGUUUAGAGACAAGACUGCUUGAAGCAAUUAGGUUCACCAAUUAGCAUAGUUUUACUGACCCAGGCAACAGCAGCGCUGGCUCCUCAGCUUAUCCACUUCUUCAAAGUCCCCAGAAAAUGGAUGAGAACAUGUUUUCCAGGUGUGCCACGCAAGAGAUGAGCCCACAAACAGCUGUUCCAUGCAAUAUCAGCAAGUUUACAGUUUUCUUGUGUUUUUCUGAAAGAGAAGAGGAACAUCUGUUUCAAUUAUAGAUCUGCAUCAUAAUUAUAACAAUUAAAGAGCUGCCAUGUUCAUUUUUUCUAAUGAAAACCAGAGGGCAGUGUCUACACUGGUGAGAUGAAGGAGAGAACCAAGCAAUCUGGUGAGUUUAAUUAGUAUAUGAAAAUUUUGGGCAAUUCAGUUCAAACCCCAUUUCCUCAGUUCUUUUUGCAAGAAAUAUCUAGAUAAUUCUAUCAAAUGUAUAUUUCAUUCUACUUGUGUAGACAGGCUAAAAGUUGGACAAUCAAGGUCACAAGUGAGUUGGAGGAAUCACAUAGCCUCACUUUCCUUGCUUGGUAUUCAAAG
rnacentral:lncRNA from 1 species